AGAGACAGCAGUACCGCGGUAAUACGGAGGAUCCAAGCGUUAUCCGGAAUCAUUGGGUUUAAAGGGUCCGUAGGCGGUCUUGUAAGUCAGUGGUGAAAGCCCAUCGCUCAACGGUGGAACGGCCAUUGAUACUGCAGGACUUGAAUUAUUGGGAAGUAACUAGAAUAUGUAGUGUAGCGGUGAAAUGCUUAGAGAUUACAUGGAAUACCAAUUGCGAAGGCAGGUUACUACCAAUUGAUUGACGCUGAUGGACGAAAGCGUGGGUAGCGAACAGGAUUAGAUACCCGAGUAGUCCCUGUCUCUUAUACA
rnacentral:rRNA from 1 species